AUUGAACGCUGGCGGCAGGCCUAACACAUGCAAGUCGAACGAGCGGCGGACGGGUGAGUAAUGUCUGGGAAACUGCCUGAUGGAGGGGGAUAACUACUGGAAACGGUAGCUAAUACCGCAUACCCUCAGAUGUGCCCAGAUGGGAUUAGCUAGUGGGUGGGGUAAUGGCUCACCUAGGCGACGAUCCCUAGCUGGUCUGAGAGGAUGACCAGACACACCGGAACUGAGACACGGUCCAGACGCCUACGGGAGGGAGCAGUGGGGAAUAUUGCACAAUGGUCGCAAGCCUGACGCAGCCAUGCCGCGUGUGUGAAGAAGGCCUUCGGGUUGUAAAGUACUUGCAGCGAGGAGGCGUUACUCGAAGAAGAAGCACCGGCUAACUCCGUGCCAGCAGCCGCGGUAAUAC
rnacentral:rRNA from 1 species